UUGAGCUGAUCCAGGCCUGGC
rnacentral:miRNA from 1 species